UACGUAGGGGGCAAGCGUUGUCCGGAUUUAUUGGGCGUAAAGAGCGUGUAGGCGGCCAUACAGGUCCGUUGUGAAAACUGGAGGCUUAACCUCCAGACGUCGAUGGAAACCGUAUGGCUAGAGUCCGGAAGAGGAGAGUGGAAUUCCUGGUGUAGCGGUGAAAUGCGCAGAUAUCAGGAAGAACACCAGUGGCGAAGGCGGCUCACUGGCCCGGUACUGACGCUGAGGUGCGAAAGCGUGGGGAGCAAACAGG
rnacentral:rRNA from 1 species